CAAUUUUCGAGAUCCCACCCUACCUGCAUCAUUAACGGAUACUACCUGCCAAGGGUUCACAUUUAAGCACUUUGGGUUCUUGACCUUCCUUAGAAUGACCUUGGUGAGAUUCAGGUUCGUCAUGGAAUACUGGAGCUUUCCAAGUUCAGAAGGCAAACGAAAAGGUGCAAGAAGGUAGGCACAAAAUGUCUCUCUGUCCAAUUGCAAUUCUCUUGAUUGUUUCUGUUGCAGGCAUCUCGGCGAUGUUAGACACAUCGAUGUCUUGCUCAGACAGUGAGUGUCCGCCGGAUAAAGAGUGUUUCGUCCCCUCCUGCUAUGGCGCUUCAUGUCGAAGUGUACAACCCAUUUGUUUAGAAGUCUUAGACGCUCCGGAUAUUACUUUGGGUAUCGAAGGAAGUAAUUCACCUGAUCUUAACGUUGAGUAUAAUUUCGUUAAUCCGGAGGAGCUGCGAUUACGUCUGUAGCUGGGAAAUGAAGCCAGUUCUCGCGUACAUGAUUGAAAUACAAAGGAUUCGGUCAUACAAGAGUUAACUUAAACGAAAACAGCGGUGAAUUGGUUGGGAAUCGCUCGUGAUGUCUUCAGCCAAACAAAGUCUCGGAUUAAUCAAGCAAAGUUCUUUUUGUAGUGUUGGGUAGUCAAAUGACAGCAACUGAGUACAGCCCAUUAGAUCAA